CAGCAGCCGCGGGAAUACGGAGGGGGCUAGCGUUGUUCGGAAUUACUGGGCGUAAAGCGUGCGUAGGUGGUGGUUUAAGUCCGUUGUGAAAGCCCUGGGCUCAACCUGGGAAUUGCAGUGGAUACUGGGUCACUAGAGUGUGGUAGAGAAUAGUGGAAUUUCCGGUGUAGCAGUGAAAUGCGUAGAGAUCGGAAGGAACAUCUGUGGCGAAGGCGACUAUCUGGGCCAACACUGACACUGAGGCACGAAAGCGUGGGGAGCAAACAGGAUUAGAUACCCGCGUAGUCCCUGUCUCUUAUAC
rnacentral:rRNA from 1 species